UGCUUUUUGAAUUAUAUAGAAAGUAAGUCUCCUGCCCGGUGAUAUUAUUUAACGGCCGCGGUAUUAUAACCGUGCAAAGGUAGCAUAAUAACUUGUUCAUUAAUUGUGGACUAGAAUGAAUGGGGUAACGAGGCAGAGCUGUUUCGAUAAGAAGAGUAUAAAUUAAUUUUUAAGUGAAGAAGCUUAAAUUGUAUUAAAAGACAAGAAGACCCUAUAGAGCUUUAAUUUUUUAUAUAUUUAUAGAUUUAAAUUUCGGUUGGGGCGACUUGGGAUAAAUCAUCCCUUAUAUUUAUGAUGAACUUAUCUUUAAAUGAUCCUAUUUUAGAUCUUUGGAAUAAGUUACCUUAGGGAUAACAGGCUAAUAUCACUAUAGAGUUCAUAUUGACAGUGAAGAUUGGCACCUCGAUGUUGGCUUAGAAGAUCUAUAUGGCGCAAAAGUCAUAUUUAGAGGGUUUGUUCAACCUAUAAUAUUC
rnacentral:rRNA from 1 species